GGGGGCAGUGGAGGGCGUGUCCUACCAGACGGGCCAGCUGCACCCAGCCAUCCGCGUGGCCGACCUCCUCCAACACAUCACCCAGAUGAAGUGCUCUGAAGGGUACGGCUUCAAGGAGGAGUACGAGAGCUUCUUCGAGGGACAGUCCGCUCCUUGGGAUUCUGCAAAGAAGGAAGAGAAUCGCAUGAAGAAUCGCUACGGAAACAUCAUUGCAUAUGAUCACUCCCGCGUACGUCUGCAGGCCCUGGAGGGGGAGCAGGGUUCUGAUUACAUUAAUGCAAAUUACGUUGAUG